rnacentral:lncRNA from 1 species
UGUAGCAGGCCCAAUUAGCCCGGGCCCGCAUGCAUAAACCAAAUAAAUAAAUAAAGUCCAAUUUUUUCACAAGCCCAAUGCACCAAAACACCCCAAACCCAAAUUAACCUAGCCCAACUCAGCAAGAAAAAAACCUAAGUAAAAAACCCUAGCUCCUUUUACUCCAGCGCCGCAACAGCCUCCAUUGUGCUCUCCGAUCGCCGCACAUUUCGGCCCCCCAUACGUGCCGUUUGCUCCACUCUUACCUGCAAAUACGGACUCAAAGAGUCCAGAGGAGAAAAACAAGCAAAACAAUU